rnacentral:rRNA from 1 species
CCGCGGUAUCUUGACCGUGCGAAGGUAGCAUAAUCACUUGUCUCCUAAAUAGAGACUGGUAUGAAUGGCAAGACGGAAUUUUACUGUCUCCUUCUCUCGAAUUUGAAUUUCACCAUCCCGUGAAGAGGCGGGAAUCGUAUCGUAAGACGAGAAGACCCUGUCGAGCUGCAGUAAAGUCCUCGACUCCUAUACACCUUUAUCCUUAACUAAUGUACAACGCAGCUAGUAAACAAUAAAGCAUAGUAGGUCAGGACAAACUUUGAUUGGGGCAAUCACGGAGAAAGAAAAUCCUCCGCUGCUAAACGGUCUUAACUAGACUUAACUUAGAAGACUUAUAAUUCUAAGAUCAAAAAUGAAGUAACUGAUCCACUAACAGUGAUCAAAAGAACAAGUUACCGCAGGGAUAACAGCGUCAUCUUUUCUGAGAGUCCAUAUUGACGAAAAGGUUUGCGACCUCGAUGUUGGAUCGGGACAUCCUAAGGGUGCAGAAGCUUUUAAGGGUUGGUCUGUUCGACCAUUAAAGUCCUACGUGAUCUGAGUUCAGACCGGCGAGA